rnacentral:lncRNA from 1 species
UAUGGGAUGGAUGGUGCCUGGCACGUUGCUCCUGAGGGGUUUGCAUCCACCACGGCCCGGGCGUUGGGGUUGCAACCGGCAUUUUGUGAGCGGGGGGGGUUGGCAGCUGCCGCGGUGCACACAGCGGGCUCGCACCCAUCCCGUCACUCAUGACACGGCGCGUGCCGUGCCUUCGCAUCGAUCCCGCCACCACGAUGGCUUUGCAUCCGUCACGACGCUUACGAUGGGCUCAGCACCUCUCUCUGCUUCUCCCAUAGGUGCUGAGCGGCCCCGGCACAGGGACCGCGGGCUGCGGGGCGCCGCGAUGCCCGCCCGGAGAGGAACCCGUCGGGGCGUGCGGCUCGGCACAGACGUGCCGCCCGUGCCCCCCUGGCGCUUUCUCCCCGGGGGACGCGCCGUGCGCCCCGCACACCCGCUGCCACGCCGCCAACCGGCUCCUCCUGGCACCAGGGACGGCGGCGGCCGACAGCCGCUGCGGAGGCUGCGUGCACGGGCCAGCGGCGAGCCCGGAGCGCGGCAGCACCGCGGGGGCCGGCGGGGAGCAACGGGACGCGGGAGGCUCGGCCGGAGGAGGCGGCGGCGGCGCAGUCGGCCGUGCUGGCCAUCGUGCCCAUCUUCUGCGCCAUGGGCUUGCUGGGCAUCCUCGUCUGCAACCUGCUGAAGAAGAAGGGCUACCACUGCACCGCGCACAAGGAGCCCGACCCCGGGGCCGGCACCGGUGAGCCCCGGUCCCGUGCGCCCUGGGGUCUGGGUGCUGCUGUGCCCCAAGCCCGGUGUGGGGCGGGUUUGGUCCCCAAAAGGGUCCCAGAUCUGGAAGUGGCUGCAUGUGGCCAAGCUGGGGACGCAACUGAGGCCACCCCGAGGCCACCUUGCCCUGCUCGAGCCCAUCCCCGUGGCUUCUGGUCCCCGAAUUGUCCCCGUGGCCAGAGCUCGCCCCCCGCCCACCGAGCCCCCUCCGUGUGCCUCCAGGUCCCAGCUCCGUCUACCAGAUCGAGGACGCCAACGAGGACACCAUCGGGGUCCUGGUGCGCCUGAUCACCGAGAAGAAAGGUUGGGGGGGGGGAUUACAGGGGGGGUCCCCAAAUAGCUGGGGAAGGGUUUGGGACCCCCCAGGGACCCUUUGCUGCCCCCCCUCCCGCAGAAAAUGCCGCGGCGCUGGAGGAGCUGCUGAAGGAGCAUCACAGCGCGCAGCUGGUGGCACCGGGCUGCAAACCUGCCUAUAAGUGAGACCCCCAAAACCCUACUGAGCCCCCCCCCA